rnacentral:rRNA from 1 species
UGGGGAAUUUUGGACAAUGGACGCAAGUCUGAUCCAGCCAUGCCGCGUGCGGGAAGAAGGCCUUCGGGUUGUAAACUUCUUUUAUAUGGGACGAAAAAGGGUCUUUCUAGAUCAACUGACGGUACCAUGUGAAUAAGCACCGGCUGACUCCGUGCCAGCAGCCGCGGUAAUACGGAGGGUGCAAGCGUUGUUCGGAAUUACUGGGCGUAAAGCGCACGUAGGCGGGUUUGUAAGUAGGGGGUGAAAUCCCAGGGCUCAACCCUGGAACUGCCUUCUAGACUGCAAGACUGGAGGUCAGGAGAGGCGAGUGGAAUACCGAGUGUAGAGGUGAAAUUCGUAGAUAUUCGGUGGAACACCAGUGGCGAAGGCGACUCGCUGGACUGAUACUGACGCUGAGGUGCGAAAGCGUGGGGAGCAAACA